UCUCUGGUGGCUCAGAGGGUAAAGCGUCUGCCUGCAACGCAGGAGACCUUGGUUCGAUCCCUGGUCGGGAAG
rnacentral:tRNA from 1 species